GGAACCUCCGGUGGCCCCUAACAUCCCGCUGCGAGGCCCCUGGGCUGCGGAAUCUCGCCAAGUCACCUGGCCCCAGCAGGGCGGCCCGGUGAUGGAGGGGGGGGGGGGCAGGCGUUAUUUUUGUUUUAUUUUGAGGUAAAGACUGAAUUUCGGCUUCAGGACUUUUGCCAACGUCUCUGCUCACCAGAACCCAGCAAACUUCAGGACACAAAUGAGCAUCUUAAUUUAUUGAUACAAAACAGAAAGCCUCACAUGUGAAAUAAAUGCACUCAAAAGAUUCUUCACAAGUAGCUCUUUGGAGCUUCAGAUGUGAGAUGGAUCAUUCUUCAAUCUGUAAUAGACCCUCUGUGAAGCUCUUCAAUCAAACCUGAGGAUUCAAGGCAUUUUGUAGCAUCCUAAACAGAAGGAUAUUGCAGGGAGCUGAUUCUGCUUUGAUCCUUGUGCUUGUUGUCAAAGCGCUUGGGAUUGAAGAGACUGUUGGCUACAAUUGACUGUGAC